AUGUCCAUGUUCUUGAUUUUCCUUCUAUACAACAAUGCAUGUUAUACCUCUGCUAAAAUUGCCUAUAAAAUAACUCUCAAUAAUGUCUUUCUAAAACUCUCAUCAAGUUAUGGCCUUUCCCCCAAUUGCAACAAUAUGGUGACAUAUCAAUCAAAUAAAAUCUCCUCUAGUUAUGGUCUCUCCCCCAAAUGCAACAAUACAGUGACAUAUCAGCCAUACAUCCACUACACGGUUCACUCUCGCAUGUUCCUCUUCAAGUACUCAUAUUGA